UACGAAGGGGGCUAGCGUUGUUCGGAAUCACUGGGCGUAAAGCGCACGUAGGCGGAUGUGCCAGUCAGGGGUGAAAUCCCGGAGCUCAACUUCGGAACUGCCUCUGAUACAGCACGUCUUGAGUCCGGAAGAGGUGGGUGGAAUUCCUAGUGUAGAGGUGAAAUUCGUAGAUAUUAGGAGGAACACCGGUGGCGAAGGCGGAUCUCUGGGCCGUAACUGACGCUGAGGAGCGAAAGCGUGGGUAGCAAACAGG
rnacentral:rRNA from 1 species